AUUGAACGCUGGCGGCAGGCCUAACACAUGCAAGUCGAGCGGAGCGGCGGACGUGUGAGUAAUGUAUGGGGAUCUGCCCGAUAGAGGGGGCUAACUCCUGGAAACGGUGGCUAAUACCGCAUACUAUCGGAUGAACCCAUAUGGGAUUAGCUAGUAGGUGGGGUAAAGGCCUACCAAGGCGACAAUCCGUAACUGGUCUGAGAGGAUGAUCGGUCACAUUGGAACUGAGACACGGUCCAGACUCCUACGGGAGGCAGCAGUGGGGAAUAUUGGACAAUGGGCGCAAGCCUGAUGCAGCCAUGCCGCGUGUGUGAAGAAGGGCUUCGGAUUGUAAAGCACUUUUAGUUGGGAGGCGUUACCAACAGAAUAAGCACCGGCUAACUACGUGCCAGCCGCCGCGGUAAUAC
rnacentral:rRNA from 1 species